CCAUAGGACGCAUAAACAAGAGUGGAAAAAGCAAGAGAAGACUUGCUAACUCGAGAUGGUGCUUACCAAGAGGAACGCAUGGGUCGUUUGCUUGGUAGUUCUUGUGGUCAUGGCCACAACCCUGCCCUUGUCGGCUUCAAAAGGUUACUGUCUAUUUGUUUUUUGGCUUGACAAUCCAUAGAUACUAAUCUCUUUGUACCUUAAUAUAAUACAUUGUUUGACACUAUAACAGUGUCAAAAUACGUCUUAUAUGCAGUAAUAAAGAGAGAGUAUGUUCUGUUUCUACUGUCCAUGUACAUAGAACCGUAUACAGGAAUUUGAAUGUUUAACCACUUUUUGCAGAGAAGAGGUGCUAUGAUAUGCCAGAUUGCUAUGAUCAGCGUUGCCGUGAAGAAUGUGUUGCAGCCGGUAUCGGCGACACAGGACACUGCAGAUUUUUUGUAGAAUGUUGUUGCAAUGUUUAGAAGAUAGCUCAAAACGCUUAUUUUGCCAGAAUAUGUACUGGUGAGAUGGUAAAAUUUGAUAUUAAAUAACUUUGAUAAAUAAUUUAUCUGGAUGGAUGUGAUAAAAAAGGUCGGUAAUUCCUUCUAAUAAAUACUCCGGCCGGCCCGGAAUUAGUUUAUGCUCAGACGGAUGUUUC
rnacentral:lncRNA from 1 species